rnacentral:lncRNA from 1 species
AGCUAACACUAACUGGUUGCUAGCUAGCAUUCUAAUUUCAAAAACAUUAAAUCAUGUAGACAGGAUUUGUUCUAAGCUCGAGCCUCAUUGUGAUUGUUGGUGUUGGCCCAAGAUUUGAAUUCUCAAAUGAUGUCGAUGUUUAACAUCUCAUUUUGUGGACAUUCUAGUAUGUUCUCUCAAGUAGUUAAUAUCUUACAAUAUAAGUUUUUUUUUUUUUU